GACGAACGCUGGCGGCAUGCCUAACACAUGCAAGUCGAACGAAACCUCCGGGCCUAGUGGCGCCCGGGUGCGUAACGCGUGGGAUAAUGCCCUUGGGUUCGGCCUAACUCUCCGAAAGGGGUCCUAAUACCGGAUAAUAUCUUCGGACCGAAGAUUUAUUGACUUUGGUUGUGCCCGAGUUGGAUUAGCUAGUUGGUAGGGUAAAAGCUUACCAAGGCGAGGAUCCGUAGCUGGGCUGUGAGGAUGAUCAGCCACACUGGGACUGAGACCCGGCCCCGACUCCUACGGGAGGCGGGAGAGGGGAAUGUAGGAGCGCGGGCGAAAUGCUGAUCCAGCACGGCCGGGAGAGUGAUGUUGGCCUUAGAGUUGUAAUGCUCUUGUAACCAGGCUGUUAAUGACGGUACCGGGAGAAUAAGCUCCGGCUAACUCCGUG
rnacentral:rRNA from 1 species